rnacentral:rRNA from 1 species
UACGUAGGGUGCGAGCGUUAAUCGGAAUUACUGGGCGUAAAGCGUGCGCAGGCGGCUAUGUAAGUCUGAUGUUAAAGCCCGGGGUUCAACCUCGGUUCGCAUUGGAAACUGUGUAGCUUGAGUGCAGAAGAGGAAAGCGGUAUUCCACGUGUAGCGGUGAAAUGCGUAGAGAUGUGGAGGAACACCAGUGGCGAAGGCGGCUUUCUGGUCUGUAACUGACGCUGAGGCGCGAAAGCGUGGGGAGCAAACAGG